rnacentral:tRNA from 1 species
GGAGGUGUAGCUCAGUGGUAGAGCACCUGCCUGGCAUAUACAAGGUCCUAGGUUCAAUCCCAGCAUCUUCC